rnacentral:rRNA from 1 species
AUUGAACGCUGGUGGCAUGCUCAACACAUGCAAGUCGAACGGCAGCACAGUGUGUAGCAAUACACAUGGGUGGCGAGUGGCGGACGGGUGAGUAACGCGUAGGAAUCUGCCUUGAAGCGGGGGACAACCCGAGGAAACUCGGGCUAAUACCGCAUAAUAUCGAGAGAUUAAAGCUGGGGCAACCUGGCACUUCAAGAGGAGCCUGCGUCCGAUUAGCUAGUUGGUAGGGUAAAAGCCUACCAAGGCGAUGAUCGGUAGCUGGUCUGAGAGGAUGAUCAGCCACACUGGGACUGAGACACGGCCCAGACUCCUACGGGAGGCAGCAGUGGGGAAUAUUGGACAGUGGGGGCAACCCUGAUCCAGCAAUGCCGCGUGUGUGAAGACGGCCUUCGGGUUGUAAAGCACUUUUGGCAGGGAGGAAGGUGUAGAGUUUAAGAGACACUACAUUUGACUGUACCUGCAGAAUAAGCACCGGCUAACUCUGUGCCAGCCGCCGCGGUAA